rnacentral:rRNA from 1 species
CCUACGGGAGGCAGCAGUGGGGAAUAUUGCACAAUGGGGGAAACCCUGAUGCAGCGACGCCGCGUGAGUGAAGAAGUAAUUCGUUACGUAAAGCUCUAUCAGCAUGGAAGAAACACUGACCUUACGGUCAGCAGACGCUACCUGAGUACGAAGCCCCGGCUAACUACGUGCCAGCAGCCGCGGCAAUACGUAGGGGGCAAGCGUUAUCCGGAUUUACUGGGUGCAAAGGGAGCGUAGACGGUGGGGCAAGUCUGGAGUGAAAUGCCGCCGCUUAACUGCGGAACUGCUUUGGAAACUGGCGAACUAGAGUGCAGGAGGGGUAAGCGGAAUUCCUAGUGGAGCGGUGAAAUGCGUAGAUAUUAGGAGGAACACCGGUGGCGAAGGCGGCUUACUGGACCGUAACUGACGUUGAGGCUCGAAAGCGUGGGGAGCAAACAGGAUUAGAUACCCCAGUAGUC